AUUGAACGCUGGCGGCAGGCCUAACACAUGCAAGUCGAACGAGUGGCGAACGGGUGAAUAAUGUGUGGGCAACCGCCCGAUGGGGGGGGAACAACAGUGGACGGUGGCUAAUACAGCACACGCUCUGUUGAACCCAUAUGGGAGUGGCUAGUGGGUGAGGUAAUGGCUCACCUGGGCGAGGCUCCCUCUCUGCUCUGAGAGGAUGACCAGCCACACUGUGACUGAGACACGGCCCAGACUCCUACGGGAGGAAGCAGUGGGGAAUAUUGCACAAGGGGCGCAAGCCUGAUGCAGCCAGGCCGCGUGUAGGAAGAAGGCCUUCGGGUUGUAAAGUACUUUCAGCGGGGAGGCGUUACCGGCAGAAGAAGCAACGGCUAACUCCGUGCCAGCAGCCGCGGUAAUAC
rnacentral:rRNA from 1 species